rnacentral:piRNA from 1 species
AGAGCGCUCUGGGCUAAGAUGAGAGG